rnacentral:rRNA from 1 species
CGGUAACGCGGGCUUCGGCCUGGCGACGAGUGGCGAACGGGUGAGUAACACAUCGGAACGUAUCCUGGAGUGGGGGAUAGCCCGGCGAAAGCCGGAUUAAUACCGCAUGAGCUCUGAGGAGGAAAGCGGGGGAACCGUAAGGACCUCGCGCUGUUGGAGCGGCCGAUGCCGGAUUAGCUUGUUGGUGAGGUAAAAGCUCACCAAGGCCGCGAUCCGUAGCUGGUCUGAGAGGAUGAUCAGCCACACUGGAACUGAGACACGGUCCAGACUCCUACGGGAGGCAGCAGUGGGGAAUUUUGGACAAUGGGGGCAACCCUGAUCCAGCCAUGCCGCGUGCGGGAAGAAGGCCUUCGGGUUGUAAACCGCUUUCAUACGGAACGAAAUGGUGCAGGUUAAUACCCUGUAUUGAUGACGGUACCGUAAGAAGAAGCACCGGCUAACUACGUGCCAGCAGCCGCGGUAAUACGUAGGGUGCGAGCGUUAAUCGGAAUUACUGGGCGUAAAGCGUGCGCAGGCGGCUUUUUAAGACAGGUGUGAAAUCCCCGGGCUUAACCUGGGAAUGGCGCUUGUGACUGGAAGGCUAGAGUGCGGCAGAGGGGGAUGGAAUUCCACGUGUAGCAGUGAAAUGCGUAGAUAUUGGGAGGAACACCGGUGGCGAAGGCGGCACUCUGGACCGGUACUGACGCUGAGGCGCGAAAGCUAGGGGAGCAAACGGGAUUAGAUACCCCGGUAGUCCUGGCUGUAAACGAUGAGCACUUGGUGUAGCGGGUAUCGACCCCUGCUGUGCCGAAGCUAACGCAU